CUGUGAAUUGGUAAACGUGUAAAGCAAGAUUUUUCAACCUUGCCAGCCAAGUCACUUACUGCAAAGGGUUACAAAGCAGUGUUUCGUGUCAAACUGUUACUGCUUUAGAUUCACUAAAAGCCUACUACUACUACUCUGGUAAAUCACAUCAGCUUUAUCAGAAUUUAGAAAAAUGAAUUAAACUACAACUUUUGAACAGUCAUUGUUUGUGAAGGUUAAAUUAUUUGCAUGUUUUUUAUACAAUUUUUUUAUAGAAAUAAUAUUAAAGUUUACUAAA